AUCGAACGCUGGCGGCAUGCUUUACACAUGCAAGUCGAACGGUAACAGGCCGCAAGGUGCUGACGAGUGGCGAACGGGUGAGUAAUGCAUCGGAACGUGCCCAGUCGUGGGGGAUAACUACUCGAAAGAGUAGCUAAUACCGCAUACGAUCUAUGGAUGAAAGCGGGGGACCGUAAGGCCUCGCGCGAUUGGAGCGGCCGAUGUCAGAUUAGGUAGUUGGUGGGGUAAAGGCUCACCAAGCCAACGAUCUGUAGCUGGUCUGAGAGGACGACCAGCCACACUGGGACUGAGACACGGCCCAGACUCCUACGGGAGGCAGCAGUGGGGAAUUUUGGACAAUGGGCGCAAGCCUGAUCCAGCAAUGCCGCGUGCAGGAAGAAGGCCUUCGGGUUGUAAACUGCUUUUGUACGGAACGAAACGGCUCUGGUUAAUACCCGGGGCUAAUGACGGUACCGUAAGAAUAAGCACCGGCUAACUACGUG
rnacentral:rRNA from 1 species